AGUGAACGCUGGCGGUAUGCCUAACACAUGCAAGUCGAACGGCAGCACAUUAAAAGCGUGCUCUUACGGUUGGCGAGUGACGGACGGGUGAGGAGUACAUCAUAAUCUACUUUUUCGUGGGCGAUAACGUAGGAAAACUUACGCUAAUACCUCAUACGUCCUACGAGUAAAAGCAGGGGAUCUUCGUACCUUUCGCGAUUGAAUGAGCCGAUCUCCGUUUAGUUAGUUGGCUGGUGAAAGGCCCACCAAGGCGAGGAUCCGUAGCUGGUCUGACAGGAUGAUCAGCCACACUGGAAUUGAGACACGGUCAAGACUCCUACGGGAGGCAGCGGAGGGGAACAUUGGACAAAGGGGGAAGGCCUGCUCCAGCACUACCGCGUGGGUGAAGAAGGUUUUCGGGCUGUAAAGCCCGUUUGUUGGGAAAGAAGAGCAGGAGGUUAAUAACCUGCUGUUCUGACGGUACCCAACGAAUAAGCAACGGCUAACUUCGUG
rnacentral:rRNA from 1 species